AUUGAACGCUGGCGGCAGGCCUAACACAUGCAAGUCGAACGAGUGGCGGACGGGUGAGUAAUGUAUGGGAAACUGCCAGAUGGAGGGGGAUAACUACUGGAAACGGUAGCUAAUAACGCAUACCAUCGGAUGUGCCCAGAUGGGAUUAGCUAGUAGGUGGGGUAAAGGACCACCCAGGCGACGAUCCCUAGCUGGGCUGAGAGGAUGACCAGCCACACUGGAACUGAGACACGGUCCAGACUCCUACGGGAGGCAGCAGUGGGGAAUAUGGCACAAUGGGCGCAAGCCUGAUGCAGCCAUGCCGCGUGUAUGAAGAAGGCCUUCGGGUUUUAAAGUACUUUCAGCGGUGAGGCGUUACCCGAAGAAGAAGCACCGGCUAACUCCGUGCCAGCAGCCGCGGUAAUAC
rnacentral:rRNA from 1 species